GGGCCUAUAGCUCAGUGGUAGAGCGCUGCAUUCGCAUUGCAGAAAUAUGAGUUCGAUUCUCGUUAGGUCCACUA
rnacentral:tRNA from 1 species